UACGGGGGGGGCAAGCGUUGUUCGGAAUUACUGGGCGUAAAGGGCUCGUAGGUGGCCAACUAAGUCAGACGUGAAAUCCCCAGGCUUAACCUGGGAACUGCGUCUGAUACUGGAUGGCUUGAAUUCGGGAGAGGGAUGCAGAAUUCCAGGUGUAGCGGUGAAAUGCGUAGAUAUCGGGAGGAACAUCAGUGGCGAAGGCGGCCCUCUGGUCCAGUACUGACACUCAAGUGCGAAAGCGUGGGGAGCGAUCCGG
rnacentral:rRNA from 1 species